rnacentral:lncRNA from 1 species
AUUUGUUUCGUUUCCAUGGCAACGGCAGCCAUCUUGAUGGUGCCAUACCCCACUGCACUAUAGAAUGUGGUUGUCUACAUUAUGGUAUAGUUCCAUCAAUAUUGUUCAAGCCAAUUCCGAGAAAUAGAAUGGACAAAAAAGUGUGGAAGAAUAAAAAUAAUAAUAAUAAUAAUAAUAAUAUAAAACUAGAUUUGCUAUUGCUAGCAAUAGCUGAGGAUGGCACCCCGUACUGCACAUGGUCACAGUAGCAUCAAUACUUAUGAGUGUACAAAAGUCAAAUAUCUAUUAUACAUGUGGGAAUCAGCAUUUCUUCACACACACGACAACAACCCCCCCCCUUUUUUUUCUCUUCCGUUGAAUACGUUUCAGUUCUAUACAUAGUUUGGGAAUCCUUUUAAAUCUAAAAUUAGACACGCGCGCAAGUAGGAAGGUGGUGUCACGUGAUACUCAAGGAUAUUAUCGUGGACUUAGCAUAUUAAUAUUCUUUCUAGAGGGGACGUUGGACAGACAACACGUGUAUAUAUUGACGGAGCGGCGUACUAACUGUUCUAUUUAUUCUUCAAUAGCUCGCGUAUCACACAAUACAUGUAACUUAUCGUGUACAAUUAAAUUACAUGUUUAUCGAUUGAUUUCAGCUAAUGUGUAGAUUUUAACAGGUGUGUCAUUCACGGAUAUGUACUUUAACGCAAGUGCAGAAAUGUCAGUAAUAUGUACUCUGAGUGUUUCUCAUUCUGUCGGUGGCGAUUUUCUCUUAAAAGCGCGAUUGUUGUAUAGAAAAGAAGCACGUUAAAUAAAAUACAUAUUUUUAUUCUAGCAUAUUCUAGUACAGGUUAGCAGUACAGCAUUACGUGCACAUACUCCUGAUUACGAUAUGCGUGGAAUUGUUGUUAUAUUUAAAAAAAAAAUGCAGCUUAAGAGUGUUUUCCCGUAGGGUCAAUGUUAAACUUUUGUCCAGUUUCCAUGGCAAUGGCGGCCAUUUUGGAAUUUCCUAAUAUGGUCAUAACAUGUAGGCAUACCAAUAUAUCAUCUAAUGUCUCUAGAACAAAUUUAACAUUGAUGUUCUGGAAUGUUCUGUGAAAAUUCAAAGUUUUGACCUUUUUGCAUUGUUUCCAUGGUAAUAACAGAUAUUUUGGAAAUUCCAACGCCAAAUUCCACAUCUUCCAAUGUUGCUCAUCGUUACUGUGAAGUUUCAUUAAGUUCGGAACAUUUUGAGAUUUUUGAAAUUUUUGGUGUUGUUUCCAUGGCAACAUAGUAGUUCCAAUGAGUGCCAAAAUCAUCCAAACACCUGUAUAUAGUGGGCACCUACAUUGUAUUAAAAUAUAAUGGUUCUGAGUUAAAGCCUAUCCAAAUAGUUCACCAAAACAAAAAACGGGAUUUUUUCACAUUUGUUUCGUUUCCAUGGCAACGGGAGCCAUCUUGAUGGUGCCAUAUCCCACUGCACUAUAGAAUGUGGUGGUCUACAUUAUGGUAUAGUUCCAUCAAUAUUGUUCAAGCCAAUUCCGAGAAAUAGAAUGGACAAAAAAGUGUGGAAGAAUAAAUAUAAUAAUAUAAUAAGAAAAAAAGAAACGAACAAUAACAAUAUGUCACCCCAACUCCGUUGAGGGUGCCAUAAAAAAAGAAACGAACAAUAACAAUAUGUCACCCCAACUCCGUUGAGGGUGCCAUAAUAAUAAUAAUAUAGGAAAAGAA